rnacentral:rRNA from 1 species
AUUGAACGCUGGCGGCAGGCCUAACACAUGCAAGUCGAGCGGAGCGGCGGAAGCGUGAGUAAUGCCUAGGAAUCUGCAUGGUAGUGGGGGAUAACGUCCGGAAACGGGCGCUAAUACCGCAUACUAUCAGAUGAGACUAGGUCGGGUGAGCUAGAUGGUGGGGGAAAGGCAUACCACGUCGACGAUCCGUAACUGGUCUGAGAGGAUGAUCAUUCACACUGGAACUGAGACACGGUCCAGACUCCUACGGGAGGCAGCAGUGGGGAAUAUUGGACAAUGGGCGAAAGCCUGAUCCAGCCAUGCCGCGUGUGUGAAGAAGGUCUUCGGAGUGUAAAGCACUUUAAGUUGGGAGGCGUUACCAACAGAAUAAGCACCGGCUAACUUCGUGCCAGCAGCCGCGGUAAUAC